rnacentral:snRNA from 1 species
GUGCUCGCUUCGGCAGCACGUAUACUAAAAUUGGAACGAUACAGAGAAGAUUAGCAUGGCCCCUGCACAAGGAUGACACACAAAUUCGUGAAGCGUUCCAUAUUUCU